GACGAACGCUGGCGGCGUGCUUAACACAUGCAAGUCGAACGGAAAGGCCCUGCUUUUGUGGGGUGCUCGAGUGGCGAACGGGUGAGUAACACGUGAGUAACCUGACCUUGACUUUGGGAUAACUUCAGGAAACUGGGGCUAAUACCGGAUAGGAGCUCCUGCUGCAUGGUGGGGGUUGGAACGUUUCGGCGGUUGGGGAUGGACUCGCGGCUUAUCAGCUUGUUGGUGGGGUAGUGGCUUACCAAGGAUUUGACGGGUAGCCGGCCUGGGAGGGUGACCGGCCACAUUGGGACUGAGAUACGGCCCAGACGCCUACGGGAGGCAGCAGUGGGGAAUAUUGCACAAUGGGCGGAAGCCUGAUGCAGCAACGCCGCGUUCGGGAUGACGGCCUUCUGGUUGUAAACCGCUUUCGCCUGUGACGAAGCGUGAGUGACGGUAAUGGGUAAAGAAGCACCGGCUAACUACGUG
rnacentral:rRNA from 1 species